GACGUAGGGCGCGAGCGUUGUCCGGAUUUAUUGGGCGUAAAGCGCACGUAGGCGGCUUGCAAGUCAGACGUGAAUCCUUAGGCUUAACCUGAGACUGCGUUUGAUACUGUUGGCUAGAGUGUGGAAGGGCUACUAGAAUUCCGUGUGUAGCGGUGAAUGCGUAGAUAUAACGGAGGAACACCAGCGGCGAAGGCGGUAGCUGGCCAACACUGACGCUGAGGCGCGAAAGCUAGGGUAGCAAACGGG
rnacentral:rRNA from 1 species